rnacentral:tRNA from 1 species
CCGCGCAUUCGCUUGGUUGGGCGCUGCCGGUUUGCUGUAGCGGCCGUAGCGGUCCAGCGACAAGCCGCCGGUUUCGAUUUCCGGCACGCGGCC